UUCAAAAUAUAAAGUUAUCGUUUAUUGUUUACCCGGUUGUAUGAAAGGCGGAAACAAAGGAGCUUAACGUUAUAUUAAAAAAAAAAAAAAAAAAUGGACGCAGUUUUCGCCUCAGACACGGAGGUCUUAACGGCAUCAUUUAACGUUAUUGAAUGGAAGAGAUAAUUUUAAUAUAACGUCCAUGAAUGUAUUUUGUCAUAUUUACAUAAGACUUUACAUUAUCUGUACUUUUUGAGACGUUAAUAGACGGUUAUGGUCACGGUUACACGCAUGUUAAUUUGUCUUUUUUUUUCGCGGUUAAACUGAAUGUAUGUUUGUCUCCUAAAGGAAACGGCAUUGUGUAGUAAAGACUAGCAUAAUUAUUUUGAGGCUGUUGAAGUGGUAACUGUUAAAAGUAUGUUUUACAUGUAAUAUUUCAGACUGGUCCAACUCGUGUCUUCAUUGUCCUCGCGCCGAGAGUUAAAGACACAGAAGCUGUUUGUGUGAGAGUCUCAGACUGUGAGGAGGAGGAUGUGUUCUUCUGAAGAGAGGGACAGACGGGUUUAAGGAGGGUAAACUUCAGAAUAACAUUGUUAUCUUUAUUUUUACUAAGACUAAAAUAAUGUUUGUUUUUGUAGAUGUUGAAAUCCAGAGACAAGAUAACUUCAUUCUUUUGAGACUGAUAACUCAAACUAACUGGAGUUAAGGGGACAGAAGUCUGCUUGUGUGAGGAGGAGGUUUUCUCAGCUUCUUCUGAAGAGAGGGAAAGAUAGUUUAAGGCAAGUAAACUUCAUAAUUUCAUGUUAUCAGUUGUUUUUUUUUUUUUUUACUAAGUAAAAUAAUGUUUGUUUUUUUGUUUUUGUAGAUGUUAAAAGCCAGAGACAUGGGAGAGCAUCAUUCUUUUGAGAUUUUAUAACUCAAACCAACUUUGGAGUUGUCUGAUUUGGAGAGUCAUCAUUCUUGGUCUUCCUUCUUAAAGGUAAAGUUCACACAAAAAAUAAUUUAAUUGCCCUCAUGUCAUUCCAAACCUAUA